GAAGUGCUUCAUAUGCUGCCACUGCCACCCCUGUGGUGCCUCCGCAGUUUCCUUUCGAUGAGCCGCACAUGUUGUUGACCCAAGUUGUUCGGUGAAUCAACGAGGAGCAGUCAGACAGAGAUUCGUUGUUUUGAGCCCCAUGGAGUGGGCAACGUUAGACGGCACUGUCCAUGCCGAAUAUAUGCUGUAAAGGGACAGCGAAAAUGCUCUCUGUGUUUCGGAUGGGGACACAAUGAAAGUGUCUAUGCAAGUAACAAGGGCCGAUUCACCAAGGAAGGUAAAGGGCCUAGGCCCUCUUCAUUUCCUAGGCCAUAUGGAUUAUCAACAACUACAUUCUCUAGGACCAUUAGCAUUAUAUUAUCAGGUUUAACCUAUCAUAUAUGCCUUUGUUAUUUUGAUGACGUAAUCAUUUUUUCUGAUACCAUUGAACAACACUGUGAAUGGCUAACAUCUGUUUUACAAUGAUUUCGCGAUAAACUGCUUGUCAAGGCCUCUAAAUGCUCUUUUGAUGCAGACCCGGUCAUUUAUUUAAGUCACUGUGUUGCAUCUAAAAUUAAGGCUGUGCAGGAUUUACUCCCACCAACUGACCUGGACAUGCUUAGAUCAUCCUUAGGUCUAGCAAGGUAUUAUAGGUGGUUCAUCACUCAAUUUGCAGCCAUGGCAGCUCCUUUGACUUUCAAGUAAAAGAAAGGUAUCCCUUUCAAGUAAACAGAACAGUAUCAUACCACUUUUGAAACUCUAAGAGCAGUCUUUUGUUCCGCUCUCAUCCUGGCCUACCGUCAGUUUGAUCAACCUUUUAUUUUGCAAACAGAUGCAUCAAAUUAGAUGAUAACUGUAAUGAAAUGAUUGUAUCUUCUGCCAGUCACACCCUGACCCCUAGAGAGCAAAAGUAUUCCACCAUGGAAAAAGAAGCCCUGGCUAUUGUGUUUGCCGCUCAACACUUCAGUGUUUAUCUUGUAGGCCAUGCAUUCCAAUGCCCUUAAAUGGCCCUUAAAUGGUUGCAUUCUGUAGAACCUAAGGGUCAAAUAACCAGGUGGCUCAGGGAACUUUUGGUCAUACCUGAUAGUCUAAUCCCUAAUAUUCACCAGAGUCUCCAUUGUGGCCUAUCUGGGGACAUAUGAACAUUAGGUGUACUAUAUAUAAUGCAGUGUAAGAAAUUAUUUUUGGCUUAAAAUGGUUUAUUCUAUUGCCAAUUUUGUUCAAAUUUGUCCAGCAUGUAGCCAAGGAAAACAUGAUUUUAAACAGACAAGAUCUUCUUUGAAAUCAUUCCAAGUCAGCAAGCCAUUUGUUUUUUGGGCAAUAGGUUAUAUGGGGCCUAUCUCUGAAACUGUAAGGAGAAACAAACAUAUACUUGUCAUGAUAGACCAUUUUGCCAAAUGGUGUGAUCAUGGUAGACAGGAAAAUUGUUGUGACAAACUAAGCAAGUGCCUGAUCCAAAUCAAACUUCAGAAAAGGUUAUAUAUUGUUAAUUGGUUGAUUUUCCGAGAUGGUUAAAAAGAAAUUUUCUAGGAAAUUAUGUGAUGGAUGAUGUCAAUAGUCAGUCACCUUGAAAUGCUUAAAUAAAUGUGCAUAGCUUUGAAAUACUCUGCCUAUGACAAAAAAAUAGUCAGUAUUUAUCUAGCUCAUGAAGGUCUUUCAUUUGAUAUAUAAAUUUUUUAAUUUUGGCAAUGUCAGCAAUUUUUUUAUGAUGUCAUCAUUUGUUUUCAUUGGCUUUCUCGAUAUACAGAGUGCAUAGAGACUAAAAGUGAUGGCCGUCCAGCAUUUUGAAUUCAAUUUACACUUUGCUAACUUUGCAUUUUGUUGCAUCAUUUACAUUUUCUUCUUUCCCCACACAUAAUCAAUUAUACGCAAAGGAUUUACCUAUCAAAUAAAAAAAAGCUACAAAGCAAUGCUGUCUCUAAACUAAAGUUUGUAUUGUAAAUGCAAAAGGAUAUUUGUCUUUAAGGUAUCCAGUCAAUAUCAUCCAUGUCAGAAUCAGUGUUGCUGCUUGAAAUAUCAAAGAAUAUAUAAUCCAUUUCACUCAUGCUGUCUGUUGCUUCCACAGCCUUGUCAAGUAGCGAUCAUGAUCCACCGGAGCCAUCGGAUCAUGGUCCUUUGGAGUCGAUAGUUCUCAACGAUGGUAUUUUUGCCUGGCUCUUUUCUUUUCUCUUUGUCAGCAAAGGCGGCAACUGUCUACCUAAAUAAGAAACAUUUAGCUUACAAAAAUUGAAUGUUGUUGGAAAUAACUGACAAAAUUGUUUCAUGUAAAGAACAAAUUCUGUAUAGAUACCUGUUAAUCAAGUUGGAAUGACCCCAUUUUGUUUUAAGUUGGAACAGUUUUAAGUGCAUAUCUUAACCAGUAGUACACUUGGUAAAAAAUGCUCAGUAUAACUUUCUUGGCCGAAUCGGGACCUGGUGGUAGCGUGAGAGGACUUAAUUUUCAUUGCUUGGUAUAGCCAUAUUCUGGUUUGCACCAAUGCCUCUUCAUCUUUUCUGAUGUAUAGCACUGUCUGGAUAAAUUAUAUAACUUCGUCAUGAGCUGCUUCUGUUAUACUUGGAAUUUUUCCAAUUUAGUCCAGUAAUGCAAUUUUUGAGUUACCUUUCAUCAUUAUUUUUAUAACUUUGACCUUGCCGGCUCCAAAAAAGAAGGAUAUACUAUCGCAGCCCAUUAUAGCAUGGAACUGCGAAAGCCUAAGGGACAAUUCCACGACCUUUCCAAAUAUCAAUAUAUUUCUGAAGAUCUAUCAAUCAUUGGUUCGCUGGCUUGAUGAUGCUGAAGGCAUACACAAGCAAACAGAAAACAUCAGUGUCCCUGGAACAACAACAACAUAAGUGUCUUCAAGGCAAGCUUGCAACACCAUACGCGUAUCAGCCUCCUCGUGGUUGCAAUCGAAAAGCUCUAUAACAUCAUCUCUAGAGAUUUUCCAUGUUUUCUCGUCAUGAGUGAAAAUUAUGUUACCUUCCACUUCUUUUCUUCCAUUUUCAUGUCGAAGAAAUGACCCUGUAAUAUUUAUCAGAUCGUUUUUUUCUAUGCUGUUGAAAAAAGACUGCCAAUCUUUUCCUUGUGCCAUCUUCUGAUCCCAACUUCUGAUGUGAAUUCUUUUAUUAGGUUCUCUUCUUUUAUACCUAGUAAUUUUAUACCUGGUACACCACUCUUGACGCUUUCAGCCUUAUAGGUAUAAUUUUUUAUUUCGAUCGACACUGGAUUAGGAAGAGACAAUGUCCAUUCAUUGUAUGUUUCUUUUGCUUUCAAUGUGGCCAUUCCGUAGAUUAUCCAUUUGCAAUUUGUUGGACUAGCACUCAGUGUUGUCUGCGAUUCAUCUAUUAAGUAAUUUCUGAGAUGCCGCUUCUAAGCUAACGGGUUCUGAAUGUUUGUCGAUCCUGUUUCAAGACAGUUACCAUACUUGGUAAUUCGCUUUUUUAGACCGGUAUCGAACAUGACUUCUUUAAUUGGAUCGUUAAAAUUCACUGUACCUUUCACUAACCUUUCUGUUACAAACUCUUUGUAUUUCUUGUCUCCUAUUAUCGGUGAGUUGAGCAGUUCCUGGAUGGCUUUGCUAUCUCUUCCCCCGUUAUGAUGUUUCGUGCUGGUCCAGGAGCGAAAAGGUUCAUAAUGUAGGAAUAUAAUUUUUCUUUUAAGUCGUGGACAUGACUCACGAAAAAGCGCUUUGCUCCAGGUGUGAUCUCUUUGUGGGUUGUAGAUGUUGACAUUUUAAUUCUUUCUCUCAACUUGUUUUAGACUUGCGGAUGAAGAUGUUAAGUUAAUACCCCUCGUAUUGAGUGCUGUUACAUUGGCAUUGUAGCAAGAUCAGUGUGGACAAGCAAUUCGUUUUAUUUCCCCGUUAAAACCUUCGGUAAUUAGACCCCCGCGUGUAUUUGAAAACUUUGCUCUAUAUAAACUGUCCUCAAAACCUUUUUUCUUUAGGUCGUAAAAAGCUGUGCUAGAGACGUGCUCGCACAUGUUUUGGGGGAAAUUAGUGAAUUAUAAGUAUGUAUACAUUUAGUUGUUUGCGUAUUAAGGAACCCAAUUAGAUACUUAGAGAAACAGUAAAAAUAAGAGCCUCGUGGAAACAGACAAUUAGGAACCAUAAAUACAAACAGCAUCCAUCUGAAACGUGCUCGAACAAAGAAAAAAAAUGAAAAAGAAUGAAAAAAGAUUUAAAAAAAUUUAAAAAAUGAAAAAAAAAUUAUAAAAAAGAUGAAAAAAAUAAAAGAAAAUUAAAAAAUAAAAAUAAAAAAUGAAAAAAAGUGAAAAAAUGAAAAAGAUAAAAAUUGUUAAAAAUUAAAAAAAGAAAAAAAAUUAAAAAAUUAAAAAAAGGAUGAAAAAAAUAAUGGAUGUAAUUGCACGAAAUGCAGUUCCCAAGCUUAUUCAUCAUUACUGCAAGAUCCUUACUACCCGUUAUUCUAUGAAGAGUUAUUCCCGACACAAUUUGCUUUGCUGAUUUAUUUUGAGGGACAACCAAAGCCUUCCAGUCAGACGCUAAAGACUUUAGUUGCUAUCGGCUGGAGCGCGUUUUCGCAUAGCUGUAUUCAUUUAUGGUAAUGUUUCAUCAACCGUAGCGUAGAUGACAUUAAAGAGUGCUUCCAGUGGUCCUCUAUCAAGUCUAUCGAUCAGCUCUUCGGGCGUACAAGGCCAUUCAUUCACUUCUGCUUUCCUUUUUUCAAUUUUUCUUUUCAUCAUUGGUUUAAAGGCAUUGAAUCAUGAUAAAAUGGAUUGGGUAUACCCAAAGUGCCAAAAUCCGCUGAGUCAUGAUUUUCAUGACUGCGAUGCUAUUGGUUGACCUUAAACUGGUCACAUGAACUCAUCUCGGACUGAUUAACAAAACAGUUUCCAUCAAUAGCAAGUUGUCAACAACGGAUGCCAAUAUCACAUGAAACAGCAGCGAUCACGCCGAAGCCAAAUGACCCCCUCAAGGGUCAUGGUAUUCGUUAUCGCGAAUACCAUGACCCUUGAGUGUGGCAACAGUGUAAUCACACGGAUUCCUCUUUUUAAGUGUACUUGUAUGGGGCAAUACGUUUUCAUAUCCAUUCUCUUCGCUUAUGUUUUCUAGAUCUUCCAGAAGAUCAAUCAAGAGAUAUCCAUUCUCUUCUCUAUUCAUCUUCAUCUUUAUUUUACAAAAAAAAUCGUUUAAGAUUUUUGAAGCAUUUUCUUGACCAAUCGGUUCCUUUUCAUUGGGGCGUUUUUUGGUUAACAGCAAAUUUGAGGUAGCAUUAGUUAUGGUAAUAAACAUCAGCAGCAAAAUAUCGUGACAUUCUCCGCUUACUAUCAUUUGCAAUCUGUUUGCAGCUGCAAAGUAUUUGCCAUCUCUGUCUCUCAAGUACUCGUCUUUGCGCUUCUAUAGUCUCUGUGCUGCUUUGUCCUCCGUGCACCUCCCAAAACCACCUUUUCUAUACGAGUUUUGGUCGCAAACGCGUUUGUUAAAGCAUACGAAACACAGCUUCUUUUCCGUCAAGUAUUUACUAACUGAUCUUCUUGAAACACCUUGUUCAUCGGCAAAUAUAUCCUCACCUGGAUUGUAUUCAGUGCCGUCAUCUUCAUUCCGCAAUCUAUAUUUUAAUGUUGCCUAUUCAAUUCUUUUUCCGAAUGAAGUUUUGCAGCUAACAUGGGCUUUUCCGAAAGCAUUUUCUGUAUCUUUAAUGUUAUAGAAAACCUUAGUAAAAGGGUACAGCUUUUAGUCGUUAGGUAAGUUCAAUGCAGGCCAUCUUUGAAUAUAGUGGACUUACUUUUAUUUGUUAGCGAACAUUGACAAAGUUAAGACUUUUCAUCGUCGUCUUUCCGUAAUGAAAGAAAUGAUUUUGAAAGUGCCAUGACAUGUUUUAAAUCGUAUACAGGAAAACCGAUAGAUCUGUUUGCGAAUGCUGAUCGAAAUGAAAUAGGCAAGUCAAGUUUCAGUCACAACGAAAACAGCAAAAUCAGUUUUCAACACAGCCUGCAUCCGGUCUUUUCAAUCACCACCACAUUGCAAUUAUCUUAACACUGUCACUGUGCACUCUGACUCUGUAAAUGCACUCUGUAAUUCGAAGAAGCCAAUGGAAAAAAUGAUGAAGUCAUCAAAAAUUGCUUUAAUCGGCAAAAUUAAAUUUUAUCAAAUGAAAGAGCUUCACGGGCUGGAUAAAUAUCGACUACUUUUAUUGUCUUCUUCUCCUGCAGCUUCACCCAUCUCUUUAUGGGGUCACUGUUCCUGGAGAGUCUCUUCCAUUUUUCUCUAUCUCCUACUUGGUGCACAUUGAGGUUCUUUUCCCGCAUAUCUUCUUUAAGUCUGUCUUUCCAUCUAAAUUUAGGUCUUCCUCUUCUUCUGUAUCCUGGAAUUUUCAACAUCACUCUUCUUCCAACAUAUUCCUCCUCUCUUCUCAUCACAUGACCAUACCAAUUCAGUCUGCUUUCUUGCAUCUUCGAGCUUAUUUCGGCUACCUUCACUGUUUUUCGUAUCAUCUCAUUCCUGAUUUUUUCUCUUCUCGUGACUCCACACAUCUAGCGUAACAUCCUCAUCUCUGCAACAUUCAUCUUCUUCUCCUAUGCCUUCUUCACUGCCCAGGCUUCACUGCCCAUCGUCAUACUUUUAUUGUCAUGGGCAGAAUGUUUCCGUCAUAUCACGUCAUCCAUCAGGUGAUUCCCUGGCAAGAAUUUUUUGAGCCCAUCUCAGAAAAUCAUCCAAUUACCAACAUACAGCCAUAUUUUGAAGUCAGUUUUGGUAUUAGGCACUUGCUUAGUUUGUCACAACAAUUUCCCUAUCAUGGGGGUUAAGAAGUCACGUACAACAGCCUAUUAGCCGCAGGGUGACGGUUUGGGUGAAAGGCAAAAUCGCACCCUGCUCCUUACGAGUUGGUUUUUGGGCAUCCAGGACGUAUGUCCAUCGAAGUUUAGUUAAGUGUGCCUCUGCAGAAUCCAUCCAGUCAAUCUGAUUAUAGUCAGUCCUUACGCAAGGCUAUUUAGAAUGCCGAUCAGAUAGCUCAGACUUCGAAGUAGCUAGAUCUAGACAAAGUAUACAUUAUAACAACAGGAUUCUCAAAAAAUGGCAAACCUUUGAUAUAGGACAAACGGUUUCGUUUUGGCGCCCCAAAAGCUGGAAGUUUGGAAGGAAAUAAUGAGUUUGGCCAUAUCAAAUCUGCUCUCGACAUGGGGUUAAGUAUAACAUCAGGUCAAGCGAUGGCAAAUUUCUUGCAGUCCACCACAAUCAACUCAAGGCUUGCCCUUCGCCCCUGGACCAGGGUCUACCAUUCCAUCCAGUCCCUGAAACCCCAGGGAUAAUUCCUAAGGAGGGUUUUCCGGUGGUCUAGCAUGAAGAGAUGCAAGGUGUUUUUCUAAGGGGGUACUUCCCGACCACCUCACCUUCUUCAGGUCAUUAACCCAAAAAAGUUUUGGAGAGGUUCCUGCACAUUAACACCGAUCAACCUUUGCUACAGUCAACAUUGUAAGGGAGGGGAGGUGCAAUGUAUCUAGCCUGUAAUCAAUCUAUAUGUCAUCAUCUCUGUAUCAUGCUUGUAAUGUAUUGCUGUCACUAUUCUGUGUACCCUGUUGUUGUUUAGCUUGUUGAUUGAUUUGUGUAUGAUAAGUAAAUAUAACUAAGAAUAAAAGUCAGUCGUGAUUCAGAAUAUGAGGAAUACAGACGUACAAACCAGUGUCUUUUAUUAGCGUAUAUGCUACAUUUUGUUCUUUCAACUGACAGGACUCCGUUCAAAAGCAAACGAAGAAAACAAUGCUCUUAGGUCCUUGUAUCCAGGACAGCGGCUGCGUGCAGACACUGCGUUCGAUAGAUGAAGGUGGAAGGCAAAAAAUCGUUCCUUUGCAUUCAAAUUUGGAGAAGUUCCCGCCCCUUUUAUCAUUACGCACGCUAUACUGCUAAUGAAACAUCAGGUAUCUAACUUAGUUUUCUCCUCUACACGCCGACACUCCAAACCGUUUAUUCACCCUAUUCAUCUUCAGGUAGUUUUCCAAUCAUUCCAAACCAUUCACGGUAAAGGAACUGAAAUGCGCGCGUGGGAGGCCUGGAGAUGAGGUAGAGAUGUGUGACGCAAAAGACCCGAACAUAUCAACUUGCACAGUCAUUCACUGGGAUUGGACUGAUAAUGAUAAAGUAGCUUGGUAAUGACAGGACGAGUUUUUCUAUUUCACUUGAGCGAAAAACAUUCUGUUUUUUAUAACAAAUGCACUUAUGAAUAUGGAGAGAAUUCUUCCAAUUCAUGAGCAGAAAUAAAGGCAACGUACGAACCAUGUCAGUGAUGUGCUUUGCUUGGAUCAUUUUGAGCUUGGUUUAAAACUUUUCACAUUUUUUUGACCGUUGACAAUAAGUCCAAAUAAUCUAGGUUAAAAUAUAUGAACUGUGCGAUUUGGGCCAGAAUUUUCGUUGAAUGAAUGCUCGACGGAUAUUGACAGAGCAUAAGAAGUUUAUUCCUUGGACUUUUAAAGAAAUUUCCCAGUUGAUAAAUUUACGAUGAGGCAUCCGCAAUAAGACAUUUUGGUUUCUUGAAUGGCGGCAAUUUCGUAUUCGAUGUCGCGCUAGACUUUCCCAAAGUCUAUUUUUUGUUAACUCCGUAAUGCAUUUGUAUUUCGUGAUGGCAUAUCUUAACUGCGGAGGAGACGCUCAAAAUGCAAUGAUGUGCUCAAAAGCUCCAUGGUAAAUGUCAGCAACAGACAAAAGAGAAAAACUGACAAUAAAUUAUGAAUAGAUUUCAUGUGAAAGCCACAUCUUUAUAAUACAAGUGAUUUCUCUUACAAAGGUAAGAAAAAUAGAAAAUUGCGACGCCUUAAAACAGGUCAGUGCUAAAAUUGAGAAGUUGCCUGUGUGGAAGAAAUCAUCUCGGUUUCAGUAUGAGGUAACUGCUGUUGCCAGUAAGCUCUUAUUUCAGCGAGCUCAAACCAAAGUCGAUCAGCGCAAAAUCCAUCAGCGCAUUUAUUACGUAUCAUUAACAUUUUGGUUUGCUACAACAACUCAAAAUCAAAAUCUAUUCGUUACGUCAUACUGAAAUCAAAGACGAUAUUCGCUCCCACUCGAGCCAUUAAAACGAUCUCUUGAUAAAAAUGUUGGAUCAAAUACAAAUUACGGGUGAUGAUAUAAUUAAUACUUUCAUAGAAACUGCAAUCCCGGUUUUAUCAGGUGAAUUGUAAAAAUACUAAACGCAUCAAAGAGGAAUCGAUUUAAAACAAUCAUUUAACUGCUCAAACAAAGCAAAUCUUAGGUAUAACCUACUUUCAGACGUCAUAACAUCUUUUAACAAUUGCCAUUAACAAACAUUGAAAUCAGAGUCUGGAAAGUUGCUGAAAUUCGUUUACCGCACCCAUAUCACGCCCUGAUCUCACUGUUUUGAUUGUGAAGUUGUUAAAAGUGUUCACUCGUAGGCCAGGGGAGGCUGGAUGAACUCUCUUUAACACUAUGAUCAAAACUAUCUUUUAUAGUACCCAGAAAAACGAACUGAAUAUUUGGUUCUGAAAUAAUGUUGUCAAAUGGCAAUGCUUUUCAUUCAGAGCAACAAAUUCAUGUAGGUGUAAGCAAAUUCUUGUUAAAGUCAAGUACAAUUGCUAGUUUCCGUUUUCGACCAUCGACCGGUGGUUGAGUCAUCCCACUCCAUAAACUUAACGAGCAUGCGCAAUGACCUGAACUCACUACCACGCAAGAUAAACAAUUUUCAGAGUCGAAUUUUUGGAGACAGAAGACCGUUUAGCAAAUCAAAUAAAUGACUUGCUAGGACAUUUAUUCAUUGAAAAUAUUUUGGGACAAGAAAGGGUCUUACAACAGAGCCUAAUCUCGCCCAUUCCUCAAAAUAAAUUUGCUGCUCUUGAGUUUACGUCAAAACUCUGUUCAACAGAAUUCUAAAACCUUAACAAGUAGCAAAAUAAAAUUGCUGCACUUCUCAAUCAAACGAGAAAGUAGUACGAUGGUCGAUAGCCACAAUUAUUUUGGCCGAAUCAAUCCAAAAGUGCUGCAGAUAUCUGAAAGACAAUUACACUUAAGUAUCAUACCUUAAAUUUUUGAAUAAAUUUCAUAAAUUCUGUUAUUUGCCAAUGUUGGUUUAACAAGCCUAAAUUGAGCCGUGAUUAAAGAAUUCUUUUUGUGAUCCUUUGUAAGUGUAAAAGUGCAAUUAGGCUAACUAUUUCUGCAGCACUUUUAGCUAAUUUCCCAGCCUAGCUGUAAUUAUUGAAGGCUAAAUUAACAAGCCUACCUAAUACAAUAAUUAUCUUCAAUUCAUUCAUACAAAAUAUUCAAAAUUUUACAAUCCACAAAAUUCAUUAUUAAUAAAUUCCUUCAAAUAUCUUUAUCACUCGCGAGCACCAUACGAUCAUCUUUGAUUGAAACGAUUCAUGCAUUUUCUAGCUGCUUGCCAAAUAUUUAAUAAAAACAGACCCAUGGGUCGCCCAAACAACAAUUCAUGGCACCCGUGGAAACAUUACAAAGCAAUUUAGUAAAACAUUAACAUGGUUGCGUUUAGUCUAGAAAGUAGCAUUGCCAAAAUAUUCUAGAUUUGCAUGCAACGUUGCUGAUUUUGCAACCAGCCAAAAAUCGCCAAGCAGUAGAGAAUGCAUGAUUAAAAUAUCAAAAAUAAAAAAAAUAUCCUUUCUCUUUACGCCAACAUAAAUAGCAAAUCUUUCUUAAUAAAGCCCAAAUCAACGACGACUACGCUUUUGACAUUUCGUGGAACAAACUGAGUUUGGCGUAAUUCUUUUCACAACAAUGAAUAUAAAAGAAGAACAAAGCAGAAGCCCCAGUGCCUCAUGUUAAUCACACCAAAAUGAGACAAAUAUUUGUGCACGGUCGACACAAUCACGCAGUCACAAAACUUUUCAACUGAGUUGUAUUCACGAUUUUAAGAAUUCUGUUAUCAUUUUCAGGACAGAUUUUAGCUAUAAUAAUUUCAUAAAGUGGGGUUGACUUCACGAGACAUUUAUGCGGUGUUUGAUGAGGGUCUGAGGCUUGCCUUGUGGGUAUGCAUUGAACUUUAGGUGGUGAUAUGUGGUAGCCUAACGAUAAUAAAACUAAAAACAAAACACAGCUCUAUUGAAACAGGUUUCACCUGCUUGAGGCUUCAUAUAUCUUCUUUGAAAACAUACCAUAUCUGCAAAGACAAUUUUAACAUUUAAAUUCAUUUAAAUUCGUAAAAUCAAGCCAGACCUCGUUAUCCUAACGCUUUGAUAUUUUUUCCAAAGUUUCGUUCAUUUACCUUCAAUAUUGCAAAGAACCUAUUUCCAUUUCAAAGACUGUAUUACAUCCUGAUAAUAUCACAAAACCAUUUUGUUGACCAGGGACAAGCCAUUUAAUUUGCCAAUGGGCAAUAAACUAGACUAAGUUGUAGUCGCAGACUGAAGCUAAAAGGCUGGCCGAAGUUAUGCUCGAUAGUACAAAUAAUAAUUCUGAAAAAGAUUUGAAUUACGCAAACGGACGGACACAGACAAGCUUUCACCGAACGUCCUUAGAGUUUAAAAAUAGCUUACGUUUUCAAAUUAAAGCAAUGCGUUGUACGGAGUGUGCGAUGUACGUCACUAAAUCCCCUGCUUCAUACAAGAGGCCAGUCAGGGAAAGGCAAGUAGCUGGAUGUUGCCCGCGGAAAGGGGACAUUCAAUGCCCCUCAUUUCAUUAAUUAUACUUGUAUCAAUCUCGCUAGUAUUUUAUUUUCUAAACUUUUUUAAACUUUUCUGCAUCUCACCUUUAUCGAAAUAAUAACUACAUGUAUUGAUAACACGUCUUUGAAAUCCAUGUAUACAUACACAGUAUUGUUAAAACACCUAGGCAAGGUACGUUAAAAAGACAUGGCAGAAAAAACGCUGCUAGGAUAUUAGUAGAGCGAAGCGAUCUUCUUUUCAUAAUUCUUAUGAAGCGAGACAAUACAUAGAAGCAACUGACCUUUAUCAGUGAUUAGUCGCCUUCACUUUCUGACUCUGGCACGGUUUGGUUCCUUGCUUGUUGGGGGCUUGAUGCAUUAGAUGCAGGAGAGUGUCUGUUGUUAGGGAAAAGGUCCUUGUUAUACUUAUGGGCUUGUUAUCAACAUGAGAUUGUUAUACACAGUCUUUCUUGAGCAACAGAUUAAAAAGACAGGAAUGAUUUGCCCAGCUUUAAGUAGCAUCAAACACACCGAUUAUGAUUCAAACCACCAACAUGGCCUAAGUGCAUCGGCCUAAGCAUGGCCUAAGUGAAUCGGCCUAAGCGCAGUUUUCUGUGUUUGUUUGAUGUCUGAUCUGCAGAAACACCGAAUCGUUUUGUGUUCUUCAACAGGAGAUACUUAAAUACUUAAAAAUAAACGCAGACACGGAAAGGGAGGAAAAUAAAGCCCAUAGUUGAUCGGGUAAAAAAGGUAUCUGAAGAAUAUGACAAAAAAAUUAUUUGCAAGUCCAUUCAUAUGUUUCUUGGUCCUUCAAAAUUUUUUGACGUAUCUUCUUUUUAAAAACAGACUUGGGCCUAGAAAAUGAUUGUUAGAAAAAAGCUAUCUGAACCACUUGUGAAACAAAAAACUUACGACUGGCCUUCUAAGCUUUGUGACUCAGCGUUUGGUUCCAGUAGUGCUUGAACUUUCAAUAAAAUCUCGAACACUUGCAGGUUUGGAGUCUAAAAAGUGAAAUUUAUAUCAAAUGAUGAAAACAGACAAUGAAAGCAUCGAGCUUGGAAUAAGGGGGCUAAAUGGGUUUUAUAACAGGAGUUAUUAGACAGUACCACGUGCCAAAAGACCAUACGAUUACAUUACAUUUCGAAACUAUACUAUGCAUUGUAUAGUUGAAUGCAAAGCUUCUGGUUCCCAAAGAUAGUAUACCAUGUAUAGUAAACUGGUGAUUGAACUUACUGGUAUAGUUGUUCUCAAGAAGGUAUCUAUUACACAGAAGACUAUGUGGUAACAUAUCUACGUGGUUAUACGAGUUAGUUGGUUAUCCAGAUAAAUGUAAAAGCCCGCUGAAUUGUUGAAUCACGUACCGUCAAAGUGUAGGUCUCCACACUGCUGCCACCUCUUUUUCGCUUUGAACUAACUUGAACACUUUGUGAACCUUGCAAAAAUGAAAACAAAAGUCAGAAAUUUUCUACAAUGCACGAAAAAGAAAAAUGCAUCAAAAUAGCUCGUUGGCGUCUCAAAUGCCUUUCCUCAAAUGGAACUCCAUAUUGCCAUUUGUUAACAAAACAUAGCGAUCAUUGACGAUUCUCUCUAUAUUCGUAAGGGGAUCUUGCAAUAUGGUUUCUAAAAGGUACACACCGUUAUCUAGAGAAUAAAUUUUUCACCCAAGUCCAUUAAGAUUAAUUGUUGAAAACAUGUAGGCAGACAUCUUAUUACUGAAAUUUGAUAUUUAAAAUGGCACCCUUUUUGUGGCUCAUUUCAGGCAGAAAAUCCCCUCCGGUUUUAGCAUUGAAAAAAGUGGUCAGUUUCAAGCUUCUGUUGACCAUCGCUGAAAUAACCCAAUAUUUGUAAGCUCGCCUUCCAACAAUAAAAGUCUUAGCUUUAGAAAGACUCACAAAUAACUCAACUUAUAAAUAUAAUCUUUAAUUUAAGCUGGUAUAUAUGUUAAGCUGAAACAAAAUGUCAGAAAAACACAAAAAUCGCUAUUAUGAGCAAUCAGACAUAACGUAUGCUAAUUGUGUAACAGAUUUUAAAGUUUUUUACUCUGCAUCUCUUGAUACCUGAAUUAUCUGAAGACACUGUUGACAAACGUCGGACUAAAACUGCAGUAGUUUUCUGGAAAUUAAAAUAACAUAUUUUGUUGAAAAAAAAUGGCUGGUCCACAAAAAACUCUACUCACUGCGUCUUUUUCUUUGCCCGCCAGACUGGUUCUGUUCCUCAUUUUGCCUGUCUCUCCCUGGGCAAGCACAAACCCUGACUUCUAUAACCUGACGACCCAAAACUCGAUUCCUUCAAAGGGAAAAUAUUGUAUAAACCAACAUGCAAUGAGGGUAUGCUAAAGAGGAUUUUCUGUCUAUCAAAACGUUCUUAAAAUUGAGUGACACAGGGCAUUCAUUCCGCAAGAAAGCUAUCGAUAGGAACCAUCACUUUGUAGAACUGAACGAAAAAAAGAUCCGUUUUAUGGCAAAGAAGCUUUGGUAUAUUCUUCUUCAACUACUUACAAAUUAAAUCCUCUUUAUAAUAAAUUACAAAGCUGUGCAAAUAAGCAACUUAAAGACGUAUUGUUCUGAAGAAGGUUGACAUUACUUACUGGUGCUCCAAUGUGAAUAUGACGUCAAUUCUUCGUUUCGCAUGUGCACUGUUUCCACACGAAUUGAAGCACUGGAAGCUCAAAAGCUCAGUUUGAAAUUCAGCACCAACUGACGGGGCAAAAUAUGCAAAACCUUAGCUACUGAGGUGAGCAAAUCAGUAAAAAUUUAUUUGAGAAAAUUCAGCAAAUCAUAUCAUAUUAAAAACGUUCAGCUAUUUCCGUGAGAACUGCAACUUCAAAGACUAAUUGUUUAAUUGUCGAUCAUUGAUAGCAUCAAAAGAUUUUUUGAUAAGCAAUGAACAAAUAGAUAAAUAAAUAAACAAAAACAAAUCAAUGGACAAAUACGUAAAUAAACAACAUUUAAGAUAGCAUUUUAAUAACUUGCUUACCAAUUCUGGAUCCAAUAGAGUCAAUGUAUAAGAUAUUUUGAAAGAAGAAAGCACGCUAACAGUAACAUUUUAAAACUUUAGAAGCAACUCAAGUAGAAUCCAGUUAAAAUGUUAGACUUAGCAUAAAGAGAUCUAAUUGGCUAUCUUGCAAAUUAGGCUAACAUGAUUCAGCCUUUUUAGCUUUACUCAAAGUAGUAAAGGCUUGUCUUUUACCUUGUGGCCCUGUGAAAGGGAACGUCACGCACAAUCUCCCGCUGUCUAGAGCUUCAUAGCUGGCCAUAGGGUUGUCACUUCUGACAAAAUGGUACCGAGAGGUCGCUGAAAAAUGAAUGCUUUUCAAUUAGAAAACCACAAGGCAGAAUAAGACUCCGAAUCACAAGGCAGAAUAAGACGGCUGAGAAGAAAGGAGCAAGGCUGCAGACCUCAAGUGACAUUUGAAGGCAAUUAGGCAAACCAACGGAGAUGAACAUUUGAGACCGUUCAAAACAGAAAGCAAUACUUUGUUAUUAGCAUUUAUACAUUGUACAGGUUGCUGCAGAAAUCACAUCUUUGAUUACCUAAGUAACUAGAAUUUAUAAUCCCUAGGCAUAGAAAAGACAUGGGAAAUGAAAUCUGAUUCGUUGCGAUGAAUUUUAGUGUUAGAAAUGGGGCGUGAAUCAUGUUACAGGAAAUCACUUUAACAAACCAGACAACUGUUUUGAACCAAGAAUAGCUGGGGUAAAUUGAUAAUGAAGCAGACAGGGCAAGCAGACGUUUAUAAACGAUGACAUUAGUGCCAAACUCUAAGAGAGCUAUUCCAUUUUAUUUAUCAGUAAUAAUUCCUGUAAUAAAGAAGUAAAAAAUGUAUACCAUGCUGGACAUGUUGAAUUAUGAAUGAAUUAGCGGCUUGAAAGACUUCUAAGAACAUGAAACAAACAAAAUCAUUCAAAACUGCUUCUGUGACAAUUUAUCAUCUAGAACCUUGGAGGAAAUUAUUCGCGCAAUGAAGACACAAGCUCGAAGGUAAUGGAAAAUUAAAAAGAUAAAGAUGCAAAAAUAAAAUUCGGCAGAGAUAAGAUAAUCAAUCUCACCAUCUGAGUUUCCAGACUCCUCUUCGCUGAUAGCAUGGUUUGAACAUCGCUUAACUGACUCACUGAGAACAUGCGUUCCUUUGUACACAGGGAGAACUUUUAUGUAGCUCCCCUCGGGAGGCGUCUUCUCUGAUUUGAACUUAAAGGGGCAAUGGGCUCCCCUUUGCACAUACAGCUUUCUCAAGUGGUGUGAGUAGGUGUAGUCGAUUGAUUUGGUUGCUCCUGGGGUUGGGGGACCGAAGCUCAAUUCAAAGCCAUAGUUGCCAGAAAAUCGAGCAGUCUCGGGCAACGCUUGUAAUGAUGGUGAAGUGCUGGUUGCAUGGGGCUGUAUAGGAAUUUUUUUGAAAAUUAAAAGCAAGAAGAACUCAGUCAAAUUUAUAAUAAAUCAGACAAACAAGAGAGAGAAAGCCAGGCAAAGCAAGGAAAAGUUCGCAAUGAUAGAGCCAAGAACUUAAUUCACUUCUAACCUUUUGCAAUCAAUCUGGAUUGAUUGCAAAUCCAGUUUGUACUGACACAAACUGACAUUGAUAAAAACGCCUAAUGGCAGAAGUUUCAUGCGUUUCGCACAGAGUAAAGAAAAACUUCCGAUAUUUCAUGGCAACUGGGAAAGACUUUGACUCAAAUAGUUUAAAAAUAAUGUAACUGAUCAAUAUGACGGAAGUUGCGAUAUAGACCCCUAUGGUGCUUUAAGACUAUCUUAUUCAUGUUAUUUGAAACUUCUUGACUGAGAAGAUACAUAAAUUGUGAGAUACCCCCGGAAAGCAGCCUUCGGAGAACUGUUACGCCACAAAGAGGAAACUUAAAGCCCUUCACUUUCUGAAUCAAAUUACAAACGAGGAAAGAAAUAAAAAGCACGAAGGCUUGUGAACUGCUCCAGGCACUGAUUGACGUGUUAAGAGAAAACGAUCAUCUUUUUAAAGUCAGUAACAAAUGUUAUAAAAAGCGAGCAAAAUUAAUAUAGAAAGGCACUCUUACUGAUACGUGCGCGAAAGCGGGGUUAAAGUAGAUCUUAGUAUUGGACCAAACUAAGAUAAGAGCAAAUGUUGAAAAGCCCGAGUAGAUUCAACCAGUGGAAUGUCAAUUGACUGAAUCACGACUGUAAUCCAAACCCAAUUUCAGCUUUUCAUAAUCUCCACGGAACGAGAGGCUCAAAGAAAAGGGAGGCUAAAUCUGGGAGGUUAAUCUCUUCUAAGAUUGCUGAAUCAAUCGAUCGAAUUCGGGUCGCCAAUUACGUAAAAUAUCUCAUAACUUAGAUUUUAUAUCACAGAAACAAGAAGCAAAACUCACUAGUAUUAAAAUAUAGCUCUGAUUAUAAUACAAAGGGAAAACGGGCACUUACCAUCUGUGCGUAAGUGAUCUGCUGUGGUUGAUUCGGGAAGUUAAAGCGUCGUUCACCGCCCUGACCUAUCGUUGGGCUCUUUUUAGGAGACGUAGGUGUCAUGUUAUUGGGCGACGGCAUGCCAGGGUGAGUUGGCGAUGCAUGGUACAUGUUGCUGAUUUGGCUGUAAUGGUACUGCGCUUCAUUUUGUGGCGAUGCGGCUUGGUAGAAAUUGCUUUGAUCUGCCGAUCGCGAUGUUUGAGGCGGAAUGGCUUGGUUGUUGUUUAAAAACUGUAGCUAAAAUGGAAAAAAUGCUUUGAGUUUGCGAAUAAUUCAAAAGUUGAAAUAGAGAGAAACUCCAUUGAUUCAAAGCAUUGAAUGUUGAAUGCCUACCUAGGUGUGGAUAAGAGCUUAAAAAUGGCGGUUGGCCCUUGGCAAAACCCUAAAAACUAGUAAGAAGGACGUCGGCGAGGACCUACUCAUCGAAAGGUUUCAAAAAUUGUUGCGGGUAGUAGAGUUGAAAAAUUCAAGCCCCCAUCCCCAUAAAUUGCCCCUUGGUUUGUAUACCGCUUUGCAAUCUGGAAAAUAUCUACCAUAGGUUUAUGGAAGUAGAUGAAAUUUUUAAUCAGUUUAUCGAUAACUGAUUUUAGCUAAAUCCUCUGUGAACGAAAAUUAGCCGAGACACUAGAACUUUAACUAAACAAGACUUCAGAGAAAAAUUCUACCGGCAAUUAACAGAAGUAGUUUUCAGAGCCUAAAAAUAACCUUCGUAAUGGGAGUUUAUCCAGACGGCAAGAGGUGGAAAAUACUUUUAUGUCCCUUAUUUAUUGCUUGAGUUUUGAAGUAUCCAUGCAUACGAGCAAUUUAACUAAUCUCAAAUGCGCACGGAAGGGAAACUAGCCUGGGCUUGCACAAAAUGCCUUUGUCUUUCCCGUUGUAUGGCUUAUACGCGGCAACAUAGAGCACGAAGGUUACAAACUCCAGCUCAUCGACGUUUACAAAGAUAUCAUCUAAGUAAACUACCUUGUAUGGAUUUUCGACGAACGUGCAAGAUCCUAUAGCAAACUGUUUAGAGAGCACGCUUCAACUGAACUGACUUUGAAUUAUAAGAAAAUGUUUAACUAAUUUACAAGCAAUCUAAAGGCAACGGUUAGCAAAUGUUCAAGGUGUCGGAUUGAAUCUAAAGACUUAACAUGGUAUAGUGUAUAAAAAUGACGGCAAUCUCAUUAAAAAGGCGAAGGUUGCAAAUUUUCCGACAAAAAGACCGACCUAUUACACUAAAAGAGAGCAAAAAGUAUUACUUCCGGACGCCUUCUUUAGCAACAUCUCCAUGGAUAAUUAAGAGUGCAAACCAGCGGCUCUGAUACAGCACAAUAUUCUUGAAAAUUACAGCAAAACUAACAAUUCAGAAUGUUAAUAUCAAGAUAAAGCAAAGACAUGGGCGCUAGCUAAAAAGAAUUCAAUUCCGGCAAAAAUCUGGGGACAUUCCAAAAGGCGUUCACCAUUUUACCCAUUCUUUCUUUCCAUCUCUCCCUCUUCUACCUGACCCCUCUUAUUCUUUCAGCCAGUUCCUCUCUCCACCUGCCCACUAAUCUCAUCAUCAGCUGUACCCCUCUCAACAAAAACCCCUCUUCAACUGUUCCCUGUCUCCCAUCCCAUUUUCUACCGUCCUUCAUUUCUACGCAAAAAACAGUUGUUUUAUCAAAUGAAGAAAGCUUAUUGAAUCCUGCCAGAUAUUUAGCAGUGUCUGUAAUCUCUUUUAAGGCAAAAAAUUCCAAAAAACAUUUCUCCAGGGCAGCAGAGCAAAGAUUUUGAUAAGCAAUUACUAAGCAUCCAAUUGCAUAAUAAAAUAAAACAACUACUUGCGUAAUAUUUUUUGCCUUAAAAAUAUAAGAUCAGGAGAACAAUAUAUGGGCCAGAGAUCAGCUUCACCUGGUCUUCUAAGCAAUAGGGAAGUUAUAGAUUGUGGCAAUUCUCUGUAGUUCAAGGCGUUGGAGACAAAAACUUACUUAGACACAGAGAGUAAGCUAAUCAAAAGAUUGGAAAACGGAGCUUCUUACUAUCUAAAAUGUCAAUAAAAUAACAACUCUUUUUGCUAAAGGGUAAGGUUGAAUCGGUCCCUCCCCCAUAUGGACCUUGUUUGAUUAAUGUUCAACACUUAAUUAAUCUUUGGUUGGACACAAAAAACAGUCUUUCAGUUUUAUAUCAUAUCAAAUAUCCAGUUUUUCCAUGUGCACGAGUUUGGAAAAUGGACGAUCCAAUAUAGGCUAAGCGUAUAACAACAAUGAUGAUAUCGAAUCGAUGCUAGCUAACAGACAUACAUCAAGCGUCUCUCUUGAGAGGUCACCAUAAAUAAACCCAAUAUUACAUGAUGUAUAAUAUAUUACAAUAUUACAAUGAAAUAACUAUUAAUACUCUCACGUUAUACCAAGGAGUCCUCUAUUGAUUGAAAAGUACUUGUUCUAGAUAUGAAAAAAGUACUAUCUGUACACUGUUACCUUGACACGUAAUGCAAAACUCCUAAACCUCUUUACAGCAAGACUGGAAUUUCUAAAAUAAUGUCGCACAUUCCAAGCACAUUCAUUUGCUAUCCUUACACAGCGGCUGAGCAUGCAGCAGCCUGAACAUGAAAAUCUAGUGUCAAAGAGAUCAUUUUAAAUCUGUGGUUUUCCGUCAAUGUCGCGUUCCCUGCAACCUGGGUAUUAAGGGAUGCAAAAACAUAUGUAUCUGCGAUAUCGAAGAGAAAAAUUCACCACACUCGAGACAUUGUUGGCACUCCUGCAUUCUACAAGUUAUUAAAAACAAGUCAAAAAGACUCUUGCAUAUGUGUAGAAGCGAAUUCGACAUCAAUAAUGGGUGGUGACUGAAGACAAUUUUAUGUGUUUCAGCAUGCCUGAACGUGAUUCGGAAUAGGAUAUAAAGUUAGCUCCAUUUAGGGCAUUUUCUUCUCUGUGUAGCCUCAUAUGAAGAGAGAGUGUGUUGCUGAAGCAGGAAUGGCUUUUUAAUGGAUUUUGAGAAAGAGCCAAGAUGAAAUCAUGAGGCGUUUCAACAGACGGAACAACCGAUUCAAUGUCCAGCGUGUAAGUGUCAUUUUCAAAAAGCCUCUUUUCCAAUAUUGUCAACGUGAUUUCUUGCAGUCACGAGACCAAUCGAUAGAAUGAUCGUUUAUGGGGUUUCCUAGACUUGUUUGAAACAAAAUAUCUUUUAUGUUUAGAGCUUUUCCCUAUCAGAUUUCAUUUAAUAGAAAAAACUAUGAACCAAAUAACGGCCUUUUAAUCACAGAUUAUGUAAUGUGACGUUGCUUUUAUACAAGACAAACACUCUACAAAAUUCAAGUUAAAAACUUCGUCAACUUGAGCAGUUAUUUUCUCUGUUGGCAUAACUCAUACACAGGAAGUAUCAAAAAAACAUCGAACUGGUCUUUCUAUUUCUUAACUUUUUUUAGAUUCAGGGAGGAAACAUUUGCUCAGUGGCAGUCCUGAGAAACCCACCUUUGAUACAGUCGAACCUGACCAUAACAAACUCUUGAAUGCGGGCGCUGGGUCACUUCCCGCUAUUUUUAAAACGAGAUUUUAAAGGCGGAAAGUGAGAAAAUUAUCUUUGUUAUUAAAGUAUCAUCUGGUAGAAAACUGAGCCAUUUCCAUUUCGCCAGCAAUUAAAAUUUUUAAUAAAUCAAUUCACAGAAAAUUACGACAAUACCUAUAUUGAUAAUUCUAGAAUAAAAACACAGCGUUUUGGUUUUUGGGAUUGAAGAAAUGCAGAAAAUUUCACAGACAGGUAAUGAAUAGAAUCUGAUACUGAAAGGCAAGAAAAAAUUUAUCCAGACUUACCAUCUCAAUGUGUGAGCAAAUAGUUUCCAAUACUUUAAAUUCAGACUCCCUCAAUUACUCAAUUAUUUUAAUAAAAAAAGCCUUGUACGAUAAUAAUAACCUUGAUAUGGGUGAAUAUCCACAAAUAGCCAAAAGGAUAAAGAGGACAUCCCAAGACCAGCAUCCUCUCCUUUGAAGUCACGUGAAAUAUUUUGAAGACAAAAAACAGUUCACAACGGACUUCCUUCUUCCUUCCAUACCUUCAGUUGGAGAGCAGUUGGCUUUGCUGAAGGAAACAAAUUACUGAAAGCGAAGCAGUGCUUGCCCUUUUAAAAAAUCUGUGAUUGGUAAUGGGGACAUUUAUAGGAACGUUUUGAAUUUCGCUUUAUGAUAUAACAGAACCAAUGAAUGAGCCAAAACUGAACUGUACUAAACAAGAACUCAAGGUUUUCAUUCUUUUCUAAUUUUGAAUAAAGCAAAAACAGAGAGGGAUAUCUGAUAUUAAAAUGACUGAAGAAACAGCAAAACUUUAUAUUUUUAAGAUAACAAAACCAGCCAUUUCUUGACGCCUCUGGGGUACAUUUUCCAGUUCAAGGUGUAGCAGACAGGAAUAAGGUACACGCGAAAUGCACAUCACACACUGCUGCUUCAUGUGAGCAAAUUUUUCGAUAACAGCGAUCGGGCCGGAACGCUUGUCGUGUUUAAGCUGAUUCAAAGCGAUUAAAUGAGCCAGACAGCAAACAGCAAAUAAAGUUCUCAAAAUAAACAUCGAGAUUGGAAGGGACGAUAAAAAAUCGAGUAGAGUUCACACCCCCUUGAUAUGCGAGUGGCUUAUCAAUGACGGCAUCUUUUUUAUCUGUGACGUUUAGCAGAACAUCUUGGCACAAAAAAAUUUUCCUCGUCAUUUCUCAAAAAAAAUGCUUAUUUUACGUCAUUUCUACAGAAAUUACUCGCAGAUAACUCCAUUCAUUUUACUUGCUGAGUCAAUGCAUGCAUGAAAAUAUGAACUAACUAAGACAUGUAAGUCCAAAUCAACAAGAACCAACAAGAUUAAAUGACACAAGACCACUUCUCUUUCAUUCAACACAAAGAGUAGGGGAGGUUAGGGAAUCCUUUUAUGUAAAAACCGUUUAUGACCACCUUAAUAAGUUUUGUUUAACUCGAAACAUUGUAUGGUUCUGUAAUUAAGUAGCAAAUUUCCUGGUUUCUUUUUUAACAGUAUAAAAGCUCUAUUCUUCAUAUGAGGCAACAUGCCCCUUCCAAAUCGCUCCCGUUCUACCAUACAUCCCCUAAACAUUGAAGGCUUUCAACACCUUUGCUAAACCUUUUUUGUGGCUCUGAUGGACUUCAUCUUAAACAGAAAAGUGUGCCCGCCUUCCGGCUGCCCUUGCCGAUUACUCUAAAUUAACAUGAUAAUUUAUGCAAAAUUGCAUGAACGGUAUAACCUUUAUAGUACGUUAAACAUGGCCCUCCAAAACAUUAAGUCCCCCAAAAACAUUAGGUCCCCUGUGACGCAACGAUGCAUGAUAGGUGGUGCAUCUGCAUUUUAUUUCCGUACAAACACGAUCAGCUGAAGUCAUAUCUUUUAAUCUGAUAGUACUCCUUUAUAACAUUAGUGGUGGAAAACUCCUCUUUGAUAAGACUUAAUAACAACCAACACCCGAGUACAAAUGAUUAGAAAGAGCAAGCAUUUCUGAAAGAUUUUCAACUUAAUCAAACAACGGAAUAAAGGCGUGAAAAGAACCUGGUUAUUGCUAAGAAAAAGGCUGACAUUCUGCACAUGCUCACUGUCUAAUAACGCAAACAACACAGAGCCCCUCAGUCAUACACCUUUGUCGCUAGACUUUAUCAAAAUCGCAUCUUCCUUCCAAGGCUUUAUUAAUUUGCACUGGCAGUCUUACGCAGAGCAAAGUCCACUGAACUGAAAAGUCUUGUGACCAAGCGACUACUCCGCGGUCUACAAGGCAACCGCGUCACCGCCUGCGCGAGCUAUUUGUUUUAACAUGGAACCUGACCGACUGUGCCCCUAGAAAUUCACCUACGAGUAAAAAAGGUUGCAGACUUUCGUAGAGUUCCGUUUCAAAUGAACCUUAGUAAUGCCAAAAAGCGACAAACUUCAUCAUUUCGGUUCUGUUUUUAACUUUUUUAGGGUAACCAUCCAUGUUAUUUCCAAAGAAUUACAAGCCUAGACAGGCGUUCAAAAUCAUGGGCCACCACGGGUACGUGCCCCUAUUAAAAGGUAGAGUAAAGGAAAUUUCUAAAUGUUAGAAACCCAAGCCCCUCUGUUCAAAUCAAAAUGAAAAGGGUACGCCUUGGCAACACGGUACAGUCUUAAAACAGCAAAAUAGAAAUCCCCAAUCCAAUAUUUCGAAUUUUGGCCCAGGAUAAGUGCCCUCUAUAGCAUGCGCUUACCUACAGUUGGGCCGUCAACAGAGGUUACAUUUAAGCACCAAACGUAAGAAUGAGUUAUGGAAGCAGCCUACAAUCAUUUAUAUAUAAAAAAAUUUUCAACUAUAUAAAUCUGCACUAAUAAAACAGUUAGCCACGUGGGAGGGUCUCGAAAAAUGUUUACAAAUGUGUAAUAAUAAAAAAAGCAUAAGUCUAAUAAAAAGCAGGAAGUCUUGCGAAUGGAGCAUGAGUAUCAACAACAUAACCGAAAACGCAAAGUAAAAGCUUUGCAUCAUAUCCCACGCAGCAACCACCGGACACAAGGUAUACCGAAGGAUAACUAUAUGAAGGAUUGCAUUGUAAAUGAAAGAAGAAAAUUCAUUGAUAGGGCCUGCCCAGACAACAAAUUGAGGUUCGCCGCAUCAUUCAAUAUUUAUCAACUUAACUCAAAAUGAGUGUUAACAACCGUUAUGAAAACUACCAUUUAAGGGUGCGAGCAAGACUCCACGUUGGGCCCCUUGCAGAAUUGAGCAACACUAAUAACAACAUCGCAUGGGGAAUAUUGUCGCCAGAUAAUUCCCCAUUCGAAAAUUACGUUGCUCCACGUGCCAGGCCUCUCUUUCACUGCACAGAGACAGUUAUCUCCGCAACUCAUUAGACAUGCGUUACUGGCAUCAGAAAGUAUUCUAUCUUAUAAUAAUUCUAUAAAUCAGUGGUGGGCAUCUUCCCAACUUGAUAAAUUGAUGAACGGCACUCACUUGCAAACUGAACAGCGAAGCAUCGCAAGAAACAAGGGCGAACUAGCGCGAUAAAAGCUGUUGCCAUAGCCAUUUAAACCCAACACCAAAGUCAAUGGUUUAAGAAAUAUGGUAGUGUGACAAUGCUUCCCUUUAAAAGUUAAAGUGUAUAUUUAUUAUAUAUUUAGACUAUAAAAUUAAGUCGUUUCAUGGAUUAAGACGAUAUAUUGUAACAGCAAAUCGGUGUUUUUUUGACGAUAAAGCAAGAUAAACCAAUUCAAGUUUAAUUUAGACAAGAGCAGUAGAUGAAUGCCCGGUUUCAUCAAUUCAUUUAGUUUAUUAAAACAUAUAGACAGAACAGUGCUAAAUCUGUUUAUUUUACAAACAGCACGCAAAUUUGCAGGGAUACAUGUCGAAUAUUUACAUUCCUCUUGUUUUAUGAAGUACCCUUCGCAUCAAAUUUUCGCCCCGAUCCAACCGGAAAUCUAUUGGUUGCAGUCUGAAUGAAAGCUGACUAACACAAGAAAUAGUUUUCGCACGUUGAAUUCUGAAUUUUAGUGCCAACUUGAAGGCGAACGCACUUGAUACAUGCAUGAUUGACAGAUUCGAAAAAGUUGAAGAAGCCGAAUAACACGACAUUAGUGUCGAUCCGGGUAUUCUGCACUCGCAAUGUAACUUGAAAACAGUAAUUUAGUUACCAUUUUGUUCAAAAUGUUCAUAAAUGACAAAGCUAACGAUAUUUUACACAAUGAAGCGUGCAACCACGAUGAUCUAUGCAUACAGCGAAGACAGUGUUUUCGAUUACAGAACCACAAUUGUUUGCGUCGACGUUUUUUCGUCUGUGAAAAUCGAGAUUAUAUUUACCUGCAAGUCGAGGUCCUCUGUAGGAAAAUCAUCGAUUCCAAACAUUGAAAAAAGUCUAGCUUUCAACAUGACGGUGCUAAGCUGUUCCAGGCAAUAAUACGUCGUAAAUCGCUCUACGGUUUGUUUUUGACUAUAUAAAGGCCAGCGCCGCACAAAAGAGGCUAUUGUUCAAGCCUCGAGACGACGAUAAGGUUAACCAGGGGGUAACGGUAGUGAAUAUAACCUCUGUGUGUGCAAAACCACUUAAACAUUGAUCUCAGAGCAAAAAGGCAGAUGCGGUUUUCGACUCGACAUGACACCGUCUAGCUAGUAAAAGCCUUAUACCCGAGGCAAAUCAAUGCUGAAAACAUAAUAUUUACUUGUAUGCUAUAAUUAAAUCUUUCGGAAACGUUCUUCGUUGUGUUAUUGUGUUAUCAAAAAACUUAGCGUUAAGUGUUAAGGCUAAGUGCUCACUGACAUUAUAAGUUUAGAAUUCAUCUGGUUGAGAAUGACUAGAUCUGUAGGUGCAUUGAAAAAAUUAACUUAAUUCCAAUUUAAAGUGGAAGGCAGAAAUGAGAACCUUUGAAUUAACGGCGAGAGCCAAUGCAGUACUUUAAAACGAUGCACAUUUCUUUCUUUAAGAAUAAAUCUUAUAAGAAUAUUUGGCCCAAAGUUGAUGAAAUUUAUGAAUAAAUUUAGUAUAAUAGCUAGAAUAAAGAAAACAGUGUUUUCAGUGACUUCAACACAACCAUGAAUGAGGCAAAGUGCUAGUAUAUUUUAUUUCCAAAAAUUGUUUCAUGAUUAAGAGAGCAAGAAUCGACAUUUUUAGGGCCUUUUUCAGCAUACUAACUAGAGGGGGGGCAAUUCCUCCGGCAGCUCCAGUGACUUUCCAUUGUUUUAAUCAAUAGGCUUCUGUCCUCCUCUUAGGAUAAAGAAAGGUUUGUCCCCAAAGAAAGUGGGGGGGGGGGUAACUUCCGCAUUAAAUGUUAUGGGAUGUGCCAAUUUUUAAGGUACCGAUUGUCAUGAAGAAAAUUUUAGGGUAUCGAUUUUGGUAAAACCAAACAUGGUCAGAUUUUUAGCAUGUUCUUAAAUUUUAGGGUAUCAUUUUUGAAAGAAAUAUAACUGUGUUCAUUUAUUUGACUGAGUUGCUGGGUUUUUGCAAAUUUAAAUUUAAGGGUAUGCAUUUUAUAGUAUAUCUAAAUUUUGGGCUAGGGUUUUUGGAAAAUUUAUAAAUCUUAGGGUGUUUUCAAAUUUCAUAAUGGGACAUCCCUGUCCUCUGCUAUUGAAGUUACCCCGCCCCGGGCCCUUGGAAAAAGCCAUGAACAUUUUCCCACCUUGCUCUGACCAAAUCUACAUGUUCUGUCGCUUAAGAAUGAUUUAAGCAUAAUUUCAGGCUUAGAAUCCCAAAAUCUUAGAAUUGCGAGUCUCAGCAAAAGUCAAUUUAUUUUUAUUGUCAUAUAGUCAUAUUGUCAUAUGUGUUUUUAUAGUCAAUUUAUUUUAAAAAAUGUGUGUAUUGGAUUCAGUAUUGUCGAGCGGACAAGAGAAGGAUAGCCCAAAACAGCUCACGCCCAAUUUUAGGUCAUUGGAAGUCUACAGAAAUAAGAAAUGAUUUGUCCCUCGCAAAAACCGAUUUAUUAAAAUGCCAGAAAAUAAUUAAUUGGCAAUUCAAGGCCAAACAAAAAAAUUUUGCCAAACAAACUAACACCCAAACUUUCUUUCUUUCUUUCUUUCUUUCUUUCUUUCUUUCUUUCUUUCUUUCUUUCUUUCUUUCUUUCUUUCUUUCUUUCUUUCUUUCUUUCUUUCUUUCUUUCUUUCUUUCUUUCUUUUUUUCUUUCUUUCUUUCUUUCUUUCUUAUAUUUUCAUAUUUCAUUUACGCAACUUGCCACUGAUUUUUCUAAGUUUCACUGGAAAAUUUUCUUGCUUGGACCUCGGGGGGCCUUUUGCAUAUUUAUUUUGAUACGUAUUAAAAGCGUAUCUGUUAACAGUUGGUUUAGACAGAUAAAAACAUAGCAGCUGAUCAAAGCCGACGCAUAACCUGAAAUGUCCAUAAGCCGUUGUUACAUCACAAAUUAUUUGUAAAACCAAAUUAAAACAUCCGUCCAUCCCUUGAUUUAAUCCUUCUUAAAACUUCUUGAUAGAUUUAAACCAAAUGAUCAACUUAUUUUAUCAAGCGAGGUAAGUUUUGCAACAUAUUAAUACCAAUUUUUUAUUAAGAUUUUUAUUUAUAUGAAAAUGAUUCCGAGAUGGUUAUGCCUGAGCUUGGUAACAGUUAUGGAAGUGAAGAUAAGUUGGUAGACUGUGCUGUUUAUACCCAUAAAGGCUGAACUCAAAGUGGAAAGAACAGAGCAACAAUGGCAAAUCAUUAAGAGGAUCAGCAAUGACUUACCGGGCUUCCGCUAUACUCUGGAUCUUGAGAAUUGACGAUGCUCGGGCUCUCUAGAAAAGAAAUUGGACGAAAAUUUAUUAAACACGAUUUCUGAUGUUAAGUACACUUUUUUAUAAGUAAACACUUUAUGAAAAAACCUAGGCUUGAUUUGCCGUAAAAUAAGAAAAAUGUAAGAACAUCCCUGUCUUAGAUAAAAUUUCAAAAGAAAAACAAUGUGUUUUUGAAACAUUUUAUAAAUUAACAAAACAGAACAGAUUUUAUCAGCGAAUGAAUCGUGCUUCUAGAAAUAUUAUGCUAAGUGGUCUUAGUAAAAACAACAUCAAGAAUACCCGAGGCUCAGACUAUUAAUCAAAGAAGAACAUUGGCUCAUGGCAAAAUUUGCGUUUGAGAUUGUUAGAAUAUUUCAAGUAUCUGUUAAAGAAAAUUGACGAUUGAUAAGCUACGAGUUUCUAGAAGUAGUAGUUCCCUGCAGGUGGUGAACAUUUAUCACAUUUGAUAAGACAAAUAUUGGAAAUUACUAACGAGCUCUAUAUUCGGAAAAUGCUUUUUCAUAUAUAAACAAUAAACUCCAGAUAACUAGAACCCCCGAUACCUCGAAAAUUCGCUUAGGCAAACUAAUAUAGCCUUCUCCUUGCCAAACCCCACCCCCCCCCCUCCCUCCCCCUUUCGACAACGUGAAAAAUCGCAAUCUCUUGGUCCUAUGGAGGUUGGAGUUAUUUAUCAAAGGUUUAUUGCAUAUGCUAACGGAAAAAUAUAUCGUUUUCUGGAUUUAUUGUGGCCCAUUUGGGUAACAACAACAAAAUGUAACAACAACAAGCGAAAAUUCGUGUGUUAUCUUUCCCAAGGGCAAAGAGCCCAAAUUAAUAUGAUGCAGAAACUGGCAAUAUCAAAAUAAUGAGAAGAGAAUCAAUAUGGUGAAAACUACUAUGAACUGCAAAACAACAUGAAUGUAAUUUUGGCGAAAAAGGGUCAUAAAAGUUUUGGAAACAAGACAACAAAGGCCAAUCGUUUAUUAAUGAUCUUCUUUGGUAAACCAAAAUUUGAGGUUUUACAGAGCUGAAAUUGGAUUAAAAACUAUAAAAACAUUUUUAAAUAGACCAAUGAUUGACAGCAUUAACAAGUGGAUUGGAAGCUAAUAAAUACGUUUUCUGUUAUGAAUAAAUGACAAUCUAGUAUAUUCCCAGCAUGGUUAUUUUAGAAUGGGACUUUUAAAGACUGUAAACGACCGACGGCAUCCAAACCCGAUCAAAAUGAUCUCAAAGACUGCAUCACCAGCCUUAUGAUGAUCAAAUCCGUUUAAAAGCUUCCGGUUGGCAGGAAAAGUCGAAUGACAUGCAUCAUCGAUGGAAUUUUCAAAUUUUAAGAAGAUUAUCUUUUUUUCUUACCGCUGACUAAAAUACCUUGUUAAUUCGCCAAAUUUUCGAACCAUUUCAUAAACUAGGUUUAAAAAUUAUCCCAUGCAAGAUAAAGUUUAAGGCACUACGUCCCGAAGCAUUUCGCUGGCCAUUUAAAGUUCCCAUUGGUUGGACUAUACAAUAGACCUAUUGUUAGGUAUCCAAUCGGCAGCGUAAGGCUAAUAUUCAAUGUUUUCUCGCUGCAUAUCAUAUUGUUAACUCUGUACGGUUGACUGACGGGACAUAGUGCUUUCAAGCAAGGAUAUAUAACUCACAAGACAAACAAUUCUAGGGAAGGAAUACUUUGCUUUCUGCUAUUAACUUGACAAGUGUUCCCUAAAGAACAACACGAAUUUCUGCUAUAUUUUAUUUGAAAAUAGUCUUAAAACAUCGCUGGCUAUCAUUGAAAUAAAAUGAAAAAUAUGAUUUCGCAAAGUCAUCAUUUUGUGUAUGAUCCUAAUUAUUAUCUAAUUAUAUCUCUUUACAUAAUUAUUAUCUGAUCGAUAAUACAUGACCAAAUGAUAAUUUAAUUUGGAAUUUCUUCAUUGAAACAUAACAAAUAACGGCUUGACAGUCACUGGAUUUUGUGUUGCUUUUGAACAUAUUACAUCUUAGUUUUUAUAAGUUGGCUUUUUAGUCCAACAACCAUGCUGCUUCUGCGAAAUCCCGUUAAACCUUUUCAAGCAGUGGUAAGGUUAUAAAAUUAUCGAAUUUCCAUUUAGAGCACUUUUUAAAUGCAUAAAAAGUGGAAUUUUAGCAAAUCAAAAAGUGAGUUAAUACGAAAAAUAAAUAAAUUAUACUUACCACUGGGUUGAGACAAUAAAUGCUGAAAAAAUGUGGCUGAUUCUGGCAUUCUAGAGAAUGAAAAAAAAACAUUGGUUAUGUAGAAGGAAAACGUAUGAAAAUCACUUGAAGCAAUAAUACAUAUAGUAGGAAAGGAAAAUACUAAUACAGGAAACAAACGGAUUAAGAUAAAAAAAAUAAAGAAGAAGAAGAAAAAAAAGAGCGAAUUUACAUAGUGCAGGCGACAUUUUUCUAAAACUCUCCAUUUUACUGUCUUUUAGAGUUUCUAAAGAUGAGACCGAUUUAGCCUACUAAAAUGCUAUCAUAGUCUCACAUCACGUCAUUGUAACAGCAAUGUUAUAUAAAAAUAUUUUUGAGACAACUGACAACACAAACUAAAUAACCUUACCUUAGGGUUCAUUUCAAUGCAAAUACUAUAUAUAUAAGUGUCUUCAAUACUAUAAUAUCACACUUUGAUUAAAGACAAGCCAAUGAUAUCCUAAACUAUGAACAGACUUUUAAAAAUAUUUUAACUGUUUCUGGCUGUUCAUAGACCCUAAAGUGAAACUUCUAAUAAGAUAACCAAUUAAACAAUGACUGUUCCAUUAAAAAUCAAAGUAUAAAAUUAUUAAGUAUAAAAUUAUUUGUGAAUAAACCACUCUCUCCCCUUAUUCUGCACCGUGUUAAAAUUUUUCCUAAUUUACUUUUUUUAUAGUUAAACAUCAUUUCAUUCAAGAACCGUCAGGAAACUCCAUUGCCAAACUCCAGUUAGAAAGAACAGGAUAAGGAGUCUGAUUUUUGUAGUAGCUCUCUAGCUGCCUGGAGGCAUUCACACGAUCUUACUUCGUCAAUCUAACUUAAAUGAGAUCUUCAAUGGGUUCAGUGCCGCCACCAGCAAUUUGGCUCAAGGGGGGGGGGGGGUUCAAUUUCCUAAAAAAAUAGGAGAGCCAUCAUUUAUUUGCCAAAAGGUCUGAAAAUUUGCCAACGAAGCAUCCCUACAUGGCAAAAAACUCCUGCAAGAAACCGCUUCUGCAAAAGAUUCUGCCCAUUCCCAACUACUCCUGCUCAAAUACAAGUUUAAUUGUCUUCUAAAAAGGUUGCUUUUGUCAUGAAAAAAGCAAGCAAUUGACAACGGCAGGGAAAAGUGACGGGAUGGUAGUCAUUUUUUAAAAGCAAGACUUAACUGAGACUUAACAAUUUUUUCCAACUGGGAAAAAAUAUAAGGCAGAAAUUGCAGGAUCUUGAAAAUUUCUCCCAUAUAACAGUUCCGUUUCGGUAAACACAUAGGAAGCCACAAUACAAACCACUUUAGGGUGUGAUCAGGUUUAAAAUUGGAUUAUUUUGGAUUUAAACUUAACUCUGACCGAUAUUAAAAAUAAAUAGGUCAUUAACACUUCUUUAAUAGGCUUUGGACACAAUAGAUAUGAAGACGAUUCAUGAUGAUGUGAAAAUGUUCUUCAAAGCAGAGCAAAAACCAGGCACUCACAAAAGAGAACUUGUCUAAAUGGAAAAAACCAAGAAGUAUAUGGCAUUAGUUUUCUCAUAACUUGGAAAACUUUAAAAUGAGCUUUAGUUUCUUCAAAUACAUUCACUAAGUGUCUGUAUCAGCAUGUAAAGUUGCAUUCAACGUGUUACCAAAUAUACAUUAAUGAAUUUAUAUUUAUACGAUUAACAGUAAUUAUUAAUGUAGUUACGAUAAAAAUGCUGAAAAUCAUCACUGACUGAUAUCAUAAAUCUUUAAAUCCUAAAAGAACCUAAACCUAAAUCAUAAAAGAUGCCUAAAUCAAUAAUGGUAAAAUCAAUUAUCCUACAAUCACCAAUAACUUAUAAAUUCACAUUAUAACAAUAUAUCCAUACGAAAACCAUCGAUAACUGUAAUAAAGGAUGAGCCAAUGUUUUUUAUCACGGGUGAAUCAAUAAUCCCACUAUCACCAAUCACUCACAAUCGAUAUUACCAAAAUCAUCAAUAACUGCAACAAACCAUAAAUCAAUUUUCAUCGAUCACCAAUCACGAGUUAAUCAAUAAUCCUACGAUUACAAAUCACUAAUACCUAUAUAUUAAAACAAUCGUCGAUAAUAUUAUUAAAGGAUAAAACAAUGUUGCUAUGAUCACUAAUCACAGUAAGUGUAGUCAUCGAAGAUAAAUUAAACCCUACACUUGUAUGAUAGCUUGUCAUUUGUUAAUUCUAUACGAAAAGUCUAUACAGUAUUACGCAACUUCCGGAUUUCCAAGAAUUGUUUCUUUAAAGUCCAAAAUUUGCGACCCUACGCCUUCUGCCUUAUAUCGCAGUGUCAAUAAUAGGUAACAAGGUUUCUUAGAAAUCAAGAUUGUGUCGGUAGGAAACAAUGAGAAAGGAAUACCAAAAAUAUGCAAAUAUUGCAAAAUGCUAGUAAAUUUCCAGUUGCAAUGACAUGUCAUCACAAAACUGCUGAAAAAACGAAUUGUUUGUAAACGAAAUCAAAUUAGAAGAAAGUUGCUUCUAUGAUCAAGACUUUCCUGCAAAUAAUCGACAACUAAGAUCUGCGAAGGACAAAAUACUAAAAAAAGUGCGAAGGAUAAAACACUCUGACUACAGAAAAAAUACCAACCACGAAAUCUAGACAAAAAUCUGGUACGAAAAUGGCAAGUUAUAUCAAUAAAACAAGAGUAGAAAAUCUCGAUAAAAAAAUCUGAAUUGAUGUUUAGACUACCGUGGCUAGAGUGUGAGGAAAAAUUAUAUAACCUAGAGAAAAAUCCAAAUCAGUUUAAGAAGGCCUACUUAUACGAUACUGCAAAUUUGAACAUGCCAUAAGUAAAUGUUUAAGGAAACAACCGACAAGGUGACAAGAGCCUUGAAUACGGACAUAGGCCUAAAUAUCUAAAGAGAGGAUAGUGUAUCCAGUAUUGGAUUUCUCACAUUGAACAAACAGAGGCUCAGAAUACAAAACGACGGUAAAGAUGACAGCAGUUGGUUGAUAUGUUUUCAAAUCAUAGAUCACUGUAUUCCUAUCCAAGACAGCAGAAAACUGGCAUCAACCAAACCUAAUUUGAAAAUGGUAGCGUAAGUUGAAACUCAACAUUAGACCUUGAAAAUUAUACUCUCACUCUACAAAGACAACUUUAAGAAAGUAUACAAACGGUUUUACAUAACUUUCGAGUAUGCUGGACGUGGCUACUACUUCAAAAACUAAUGUAAAAAGGCAACAUUUCUCGUUACGAUUUCCAAAAUUUAUGACGUCAAAAGGCAAAAAGUCCAGUUCUCAAAGUCUAAAAGGUUUGCUAAGCCAGAACUCCCCACAUCGAAUACAACACGUAUUGGUUGUUAUAGGAGUCUUUGCUUUAUCAAAUAAGAUUCAAAGCUAAUGUAAAAUGUUUAACGCGUGAUGAAGCUGCAUCAGCUGAAAUACCUAAAACUUCAAUUAUUCGCCAUCAAAAUGGCCGAAACUUAAAGAAUUAUAUGAGAAAUCUUUGUGCACCCUAAUCCUGGCUGCCAUGCAUUAAUAAAUAAUGACUUGACUGAACCAAAAACACUAACAGCGGGCUAAAACAGAAUGGGAGAUAUAAAUGAAGCAAAAAAAUUGGAAAAAUAGUCGACCUAAAGUCUUACCGAAACAAGAAUGUCGAAUCAAGAGGCAUAUCAGCCUCAAACUCUUCCUUCAUGGUCGAAAUUCAAUAAAUUACUUUGAAAUCUGCCUACGCAGAAAUUUUUCUGAAGGAAUCCAGGAAGUAGAUUGAAGUCAGCUGAGCAAUGAAGCAACGGGUCAAAUUUUACACAGUUCCGGGUCACCAAAGGUUUGCAAAGGGUACGCUGUUUUAAACCACGACAGGACAACGGCCUAUUCUGAAGCAAUAGUCUUCCGUUCCAUACAAUGAAGAAGCUCUUUGUUGAAGAAGAUCUAUAAAAGUUGCUUGAAAAAAAUCGAGACAGCCUAAAACACGCAGGGUUCAAAGAUUUACAAGGAAGCAGUCAAGGGGCAUCCCCAAGGCAGAUGACGGUACUCUGCUAAGAUAGGGAAUGGGGAGGUCCUAGCUAAGUAAAAAACUGAAUAAAGGCGGAGGGUUAACAAAAUGGGGGUCCACCUUAACGAAGUGAGAAAAUAUGGGUCUCGAUUGCAGAGUAAAAUUUAAAAGGCAGCGAUAAAUUGCCUGUGUUACCAAGGAAACAACAAAUUAGCGCAAUUGUAUCAUCACAUUGGAGACUUCGAUUUGUGUUCCGACAUGGAAAUCAGGCUUUAAGAAUUUCCUAGAGGACCAGGAAAGCAAUAAGUGGAAAGCUCUCAUUUCAAGGAAGCAAGGAUCAUUGACAAAUACAGAAUGUUUAUGAAAGUAAAGAAAAGCUAUCUAAAUGGGUAACAGAUAAUUUCAACAGUGCUGAUGCCAGGAAAAUACGGUCACUAGAAGGACAUUCAUGACGUGAAAAGUGCUUUUAACCAUGUUAAAAACUUUUGCAAAGAUGAAAUGGUUAUUAAUGAUAGCUGCAAUGUGAAGCAGACAAGCUCUUCAAGAAUACCCUAAAUUGUAAAAACCAAUUUUUUUAAAACGUUAUCUCAGGAUACUGCAUUGUUUUUCAAAUGCAACUCAGCUCUGACAUAUGCUCAGGCAGUUGUCGCUUUGAUUAAAUCAAAAACUAGAUAAUGUUUAAAUCAAGACAAAGUCCACAAGAUGAAUUCCAAUACUCCGCCUACUAAAGACUAAACUUUUUCAUAUGAGCACCGGGAACCGAUUUUCCCAAGAAAUAAGAACAUGGUAAGUACUUAGCUUGUCUUAUAUGAAAAAAUUAGAAGAAAAAACAGAACUAUGUUUCUGGAAAUUUUUCUCAAAUCAACCGUGCUGCUUAUAAAGUCUUGCAAAACUGUUGUUUAGUAUUCUUACGGACGAAAGUUUAUAGUAAGUAGACGUAAAAAAUCAAUGUUGAUAAAAGAACAAUAUUUAGAACCUUACAUCAAGCAAAAAGUAAAAACAUCGAGCCAUAUUAAAAAUUAUUUCGUACUAAUAAAAAAUAGUGUCUCGGCAAAUCUGACUGCAAAAUCAUUUUAAAAACUGGGAAGCAUAUUUUGAAAACAAGAAAAUGAUGACUGUUCAUCUUUCUCAAAUCCGGUUAAUCUUAGAUCUUAGAUCAGAUGAAUCAUGCUUAACUGUGGCCUUUACGUUGCAUAACUUUUUUGUAAGGCCUAUAUUGAGCGACCACCUACUUCUAAAAUAUUGCCUCGAGGGUAUAUUUUAUUGUUUACUCUCUCGAGUGCAGUGGCGCCUGCAGGCAGUAUUUGCUAUUGCAGCUGGGUCGUGGAACACGCUUGUGCCAACACUGAUAAAACAUAUCUCUCAAACAUGUUACUUUUGAUUUUAAUGCAACUGGUAUAAUUUACUUUGAUAACGAGUGAUGAAAUAAGAGCUGUUUCAUAAACAUAGCUUGGACUUAUGUACAUAUCAUUUCGUCAUUAAAUGGGAGUGAAUAAGCAUAGCAAACGAGGAGAACUGCCGAGUAUCAAUGCAAACAGUGAGGCUGAAGUGGGUGGCUAUGUGGUUUUAUCUGAUUCAAGUAUAAUUAUCCUUGGACGAAUCCACUACAACUAUCAGAACACCGUAACUUCAAGAUUCCCUCUAUUCAUUUCUCAAUCAAAAAGCUCAAAUAUAUAACAGGGUCAACACCCCAAAGAAAUCUUUUCUUCUAAAAUUCACUGUAGGAAAUACAGAACAAUGAAACAAAAUUAUGACAAGAAAAUGUUUAUUUUCGAUAGUUCACAAUGAUUACAUUUGCUCGUCCAUCAAAACGUCUAGAACACUGAUUUGCACGUCCCUUUCCCCGCCCUCCUUAGUGCGAUACCGAUUACUUAAAACUAUGAUCCUACUUAACUGUAGUUUGCCCUCCUGUAGCCCUCCCCUAGUAUAAAUAAAAAUGAAUACGAUAAGGAUUAGAUUUCGAGACACAGUGUCUCGAGAGAGGCCAGGGUGACACCCUCCCUACACGAUGCAAACAACGCUUAUCUACACUAAACUAAAGCAUUUCUGCAUCUUUUUACCAUCGCGGCUAAGCCAGGAAUUAAGCUUUAAGCUAUUCCACAAAAGAAAACAAAAUAGAAGUAUCAACCUAAAAGAGGCAAUUCAACUCAACCCGACAUUCAAAUCAACUCGACAUUCAACUCAAUCCGACAUUCAAAUCUCAACUAGACAUUCAACGUUCUUUGCAUGCAGCCAGGGCAUUGGUGCAGCUAGACUGGCAAUAUCAUAGAAUAUAGCAGCUGCGCAAACAACAAAGCUGAAUGAAAACAGUUUCAAAUGAUACUUUGAUUAGAAUGACAUUGUUUGAAAAAACAUUACUGCUUUUAUUCGGAAGGGAGCAAAGACGCUUGCAUCAAUAUGCCUUUUCAAAAGUAGUAAAUGCUGAAGGGAGAAAUCUAAUCCAAUGAAACUUAUCGUUGGCACCCCAAAUGAGGAUAUUCUCGUUUUGACUUCCCUCAUUGUGGCAUAUGCAAAAAAAUAGCAGAGGGUAUCACGAUUGGAUAUCUAGAAUUCUCAAGGGAAAUAAUUUGGUCACUGUUGAAAGGCAAAAACAACUCAUGAAGCAAUAAACCUCUCAAGAGAUUUGGGAAGCUGACAGUAAAGAUCUCUCGAGCACGGUCAAUGAAAUCACGAAGGUGUUUUCGAACAAGUCCCAACAAACACAAGAAAAGUUUUACAAGAAAAAAUUGGGGAAGAAAUUGGAAAAAAAUUAAGAGGAGGGUCAAAACUAGAAAACGCAUAAUUAAUGUUUUUACUAUUAACACAAAAAUGAACCUAUAACCUGAGUAUUUUCCAAAAAAGACCCCCCUUUUUAAAUAUAAAUUAACUUGAACAUUAUAGCCAUAAAAAUUUGAAGGAAACGGAACAAAAACAGCAAGCUAGCAAUAACAUAACGGACAAAAUAAACGCACGCGCGCACGGUGUAUAUCAAGAACAAUGACCCUUUCGAUAGCUUUAUCUGUCCUUCAAAUUUAAUUCAAUACUUGUUAUCAUAAAAUAUGGUUAGUUUUAUCUUUUUGUAAACCAAUCGUGAAUGAACUACACAAUAUCUAGGUUACUUUGCUGAUGAUAUCUUUAACUUUUGUGAAACUUUUGAUGAGAAGACAGGUACAAUUCAAACGGCCUACAAUUUAGACGGCCUGAAAAAAUUUAGUUUUAGCAAUGACGUUUCUUAAAUACCUUAACAGCUUUUCGUAUUCAAGGGAAUUUAGUGAUCUUUUGUCGUGAAUCGAGAUGGAUACUUUUUACCAAUAUUUGGAAUGGAACCUUUUAGAAUUACAAAAUAUCGAAUACUAAGGGUUGGGGUGUUCAUCAGUCACAUAUCAAGGACAAAAACACAAAAACACGACAACAUCAAAAGCAAAGUUUGAAAAAAACAAAUGGCUUUAAAAUGAAAUGGCAGAGAAAAGGAGAAAGCAAGGAGAUGCACUUGUGACGUAUUAGGAUAAAGGGAAAGUCUUGAUGUCCUAAUACCUUGCUUAGGUCAUGUGAUAAUAUUGUUUGAAGAGCAUAGUAGAAACAUAAAGAAAACUGACAAAAAACGAAUUACAAAUUUACAUUACAAAUUAUUAAAAACCAGUUAAGAAUAGAGAGCUUUCGUUAAUUAAGGUGAAAAAAGCAAUAAAGUAGAAAUUAACGAGAUUAUUCAGGGUAAAACCCAGAAUCUAUACAGUUUAAUUUAGGACAUUCUGCAAAAAGUGCUUUGGGUGUCAUAAUUACGUAAACAAUUAGUUAUAACUUUAUAAAUUGGAUUUACUUGCUAGUUGUUGAGUUUUCUUGAAAUCCAACGGAACGCAAACAUCAAAACACAAGUUUCCAUACUAUAUGACGUCACACAAUAAAACAGACAAUUGAGACAAUCUGAAGGGCUUGACGAGCGCAAUAAGACAAACAAAUUGUUUAAAGAGGACAGAUGUACGGCCUUAGAUAAAAUAAGUCUAAAACGGGGGAGAAAACAAGGCGAUGCUCACCCAUCAGUGGUUCCCUGCAGCAUUUGGAAAUCUUCAAAUUGGAGGUAAUUGUUCACCUCUGAACCACUGGGAUUAUGUGCCAUGGCACCAACUUUAGCUCCUGUUAGCUCCAAGACCUGUAAGACAUAAAUUGCUUUGAGGAAAAUUGCGAACAAAAAGAAACGACAUCAGCCUACUGCCUGUUACGAAAAAACUUCUCUUCGGUCUGACCUGUACUGAAUAACAAUAAAAAUAUCAAAUUACAUAACAAAUGCAAAAAGCCAACAAAAUUUGAUAGCCUCUUCGUGGGCCAUGCAGGUGUAAGCGGAUCUGAGAGCGAUCAGAAAACUUGAGUUUUGAUAUGUCGCAAUAGUGCAGUGGCCAAAAACACUAGAUUUCAGAAACGAAAAUAAAUGGCGGUCGAGAACGGUGGCAGAAAACAACGUUAGUAGCUACACCCAUGCAGUGGCGGCGCCAGCUAUUACAGAGGGAGAGGGUAAUGGGCGCGGCCAGUGGGACCACACCCCUUUUGCCUCGUUUCAGUGAUUUGUAUCAAAUUAACUUUCCUUAGGAAAUUUGAUCUACCCCUACCCAGCGUUUUUUAAUCAAUUUUUAAAUGAAAAAUGCAGACCAUAUUUUCAGAAAAGUGGAGGGGGGGUUAAUUACAUUGCAUCCAUGUCACGCCCUAUUUUACUUUGGAAGGUUUGAACAUUUUUGUAGAUAAGCCAGAACUCUGCCUGGAAUGAAAAGCGCUUUCAGAACUCUGCCUAGGGCUUUGAAGGCCAUGACUAAGGCAGAUUGACGCAUUUCAUCCCAGUAUGACGUAACUAACAAAUUAAAAUAAGGGAAAUUCAGAGAGUGGUCGAAUAAGUCGGCAUAUUCAAUGACUGCUGCCGUAUAGAAAAAGCAACAAACAAGACGUAGCAUCAUCAAUCAAAAGCUAGAUAUAACACACAGUUAUAAAGUGUGGUACUCAAAACCGCGGAUAGCCUUCGCGCGGCCUGAGGCUAAUGAUAUAACCGAUAAGGGAUUAAUGAUAACGUCAUUAAACUAAAGCAACUGAAAGACUAUGAUGCAGUCUUGCAAAAUAAUUUUUCUAAUUUCCUUUGAAGCCUGAUAGUGUAAUUAAGCAUCAUUGAGCAAAUAAAUAAUACAACACAGUAUUAAUAAACAUAAAAGGUGCGGAGAUGGCUAAGUGGUUAGGGUCGCUUGUUGUUCGAGUCCCUGACAUGACAAAACUUUCUCUUAGAGUGAGGAGAGUCGCCAGGCAUCACGAAGUGUGGGCACAUCGAGAGGAAGGACAAGGACACUGCUCGAAAAGCAUAGCUUUCCAGUGUCGAAAAACUGCUUUCGGAAAAAAAUUUUUGUAAGAUGUUAAUUGAUUUACACAAAUAUAAUGAACAACAAGCAUUUUUUUAAAAUUAGAGCAUAUCUUUGGAAAAAAGUAGCUAAUAUUUGCAAAAACUAUGCAAGAUGCUACAGCGUAGCGCACAAGGAUGGUUUUGGUUGCUGACGGCAAAAAUCGUGCGCGGUAGUGAAAGAGUAAGUAGAGAGUUUAUUUGCCGGCGACAGGCUUGAUAUCUCUUUCUGUAGCUGAGCAGGAAAGUUAAAAUCACUCCAACGAAAUGCCAUUAACCAAUCACAAUCGUCGAAGUUAUCAUGUGAUGUAUAAUGAAACGAAUUGGUCCUAUGGAAAAGAACACUUGCUUUUCACCUUGCGUGUUUGCUGUUUUAGGCGAUUGAGCCAAUAAGGUCAAAAAGCUGUCGGCUGUUAACAAAACUGCCAAAAAAUCCAAAUGCUUGCUCAUAAUAAGAAACUUUGUUUAUCUCAGAAACACAGAAACUAUAAAAAUCGCAGACACUUUAGUGCUUUUCUUUACCUUUAGGUCUGAUGUAACUGUCAACAGAUUCUGUUCAUUACAGAAAAAUUUCAAGCAUAUGCAUUAUAACAUUAGCAAUGGUGGAAUUACAGGGCCAUUAAAACGACUUUGUGGAGUAGUAAAACUGACGACCGACAAAAAUUGAAGCCCUCAGCUAACGGUAUAAAAUUUUCAAAGUUAAAAUUGCCAGAAAUCGACAAAAAUCGUUCAUAUGCAUUGUUCUCUAGAAUACUUUAUGAUACAAAAUAGAUGUCAAUUCAUUAUAAUUCAAAUUCACCCAAGGAUUGACUGACCUUACAAUCAGGCGCUGAACAUGGCCUUAUACUCCUGAUUUUAGCCAGCAUCUUCUGUAACUGGUCAGGAUGCAUUUGUAACGCAUAUGUGCCGCAUAGAUUUUUCCGAAUGCUAACUGAGAUUACCCAAUCAGCUUCUUAUGAGAAGCUGACGAACAAUACAAUUGACGGACAACCUGUCAAUCAAACGACUGCCUCCUCCUCCAGUAAACAUUAGCACGAUAAUAGCCAAACAAGCAUCUCAAAACAGCCAUAACACAAGACCCGAAAACAAGAGUAUCCCAUUUCUAGCGAUCGGGUGUCUUUUCUAGCUUAAAUCAAAUUUCGAAAGACACUUAUUCAGGAAUUUCGUGGAACAAAAACAUAUUCGUCGCAACAUGGAUAUAAAAGACUCAAUGUAAACAAAUCAUACACAAGUUUUCCUUUAAAGGCAUUGAAUCAUGAUAAAGUGGAUUGGGUAUACACUAAGUGCCAAAAUUCGCUGAGUCAUGAUUUUCAUGACUGCGAUGCUAUUGGUUGACCUGGAACUGGUCACAUAAACUCACCUCGUAUUGAUUGACAAAACAAUUUUCAUCAAUAGCAAGUUGUCAACAAUGGAUGCAAGAAUCACAUGAAACAGCAGCAAUCACGUUGAAACCAAAUGAGCCUCUAUAGAGAAGGCCUAUUCACCAUGGCUCAAUGCCUCUAAUAAUCGUGAUUUUGAUACAGUUGACGAGCAAUUAUAUUAAUUAUCGUGUGCCGAAGUUUCCCGAUGCAACGGGAUUUCAUCUUGGGAAAAAUAUCUAGAUCCCCAUCUUUCAAAAUAUACUUUCAGUAAUGCCAACUACUAAGCGAUACCAAACUAUUUCUAUAUAUAUUGAUUAAACAGCGAUCUAAGCAACAGAUAUUUAUGGUUAUAGAUAAAUAUAGCAAAGAUUUAUUAAUUUGUCAAUUGUGGUAAAAGAAACUGGAUUGGAUUUUUCAAGCGUGCAUGCUUCAUGUAAUGCACGAACAAAGUGUAGGGCUAACUAUGAAUUAAUGCACUUAAAUUGAUGGUCAAGCGAAUUCCAAAAAUCUUAUUAGCAAUUGAAAAUAAAAUCAAUGCUUAUAACCUUUAAAUCAGCUUGAAUUCCAGAACUUGUUUUCCAUACCUAUGGCAGGUCCUCUUAGCCUUCACAUAGACUAUACACUUAUUAAGAGAAUUAUUUUCCGUACUAAGGAUUCUUUGUUCUUUAAUAAUUGAGUACUCAGUUUUUAAGAGUCGCUUAAAUAUUGAGGUGACCGAAAAUCUAAAUUGUGCAAAAAGAUCCCAGUCUUAGCAUACCCGGUAAUUUAUAGAGUUUUGCAGUGGUAAACGAAGACUAUUUUAUUGUUUGUUUGGUAAAAAGAAUUUUCUUGAUUUUCUGAUACCAAUGGGAAAGAAAAAGGUAUUAUUUCAUUCUUUUCUUGAAACCUGGUUACUUGUGAAAAAAUGCGUGCAAAUUAAAUGGUCCAAAAUGUUUUAAUGUUAUACUAAGCUAUAAUUAUGCACUAGGUUAUGUCUUCUAUCGCUGGAGAAUUGUAAACUGUUAAGGGUCAACUCAGCCCGCAUACUUGAUUUGAAAAAAUAAACAAUAACAAAAAAUAAGUAAGAAGCGUUUUCACGUGAUAUCAGAGAUAUACAUAAAACGGGAAUUAGAGUAGCCUUUAUUGACUUAGAAUGUAUACAAGUUGAGAAUCCUUGCACUAAAUUUAAAAAUAUCGAAAGCAAACAGAAUCUAGCUCAAAAUUCUUUGUUGAAAAUUACAUAUUUUGUUGGGAUUCGAUGUAGCAAGUCCACACAGAUUAACAAGAAUAAAAGCGAGAUAUCGUAAUACGUUGAUGUGGAGGAUAGGAUGAAGCACAAUGGUAAGGAAAGUCUAACAAACAAAUGGAGAUGAACGGAGCAAACACAAACAUUAAUCCAUCUCGCCACAAGCACCAACGAAAAGUCAUCAAAUAGACAUUUACGUAAAACACUAAGUCUACUGAAAACAGCUAUCAAUCUUGAGGAUCGUACGAUUGUUUCAAACAUCUCGACUUCAUCAGACAUGGACUUCUAACCAGCAACCAGAUAAACAUUUCGCGCAAACAUAAAAAACAAACAGUGAUUCUUAUAAUAUCACGAUGGCCAUCAUAAUCAUCGAUUGAUUGGCUGAUUGUGAUUGACGCUGAUGAAAUAGCGAUGUUGACGAUUAUGACGAUGAUUAUGAUUGACUGAUUCAUUGCUCGAUCCAUCAAUUGAUUGACUGAUUGUGAUUAAUGCUGAUGAAUAUAACGAUGUUGAUGAUUAUGAUGAUUAACUGAUUGAUCAUAAAUUUCGGCAGACAUUCCUCGGUAUGAGAAAGAAAGCGACAGCACAUAACCUUUGAAAACGCCAAUAGUGUUUCAUCUCAACAGAGGGGAACAGGAUGUGUGCCUCAAGUUAUCAGCAAAGAGUAUCAUAAUAUGUUACAAAGAAUGGUGAGAAUUGACCUUGGUACAUUGACACAAAACCAUAGGAAGCAUGAUGCAGCAUAGAAUUACAACCAAAGGCAAUAAAUAGCAAUAUAUCGUAACAAAAUAUUGUCUCAAAAACGCGAACAGACAUGUUGACAACAGAAGUAAUUUAAGAGUCCGAACAAAUUGAAAAGUACUUAUGUUCCUAGUAGAUGCGAAUGAUAUUCCACAUUAAAGACUUUGUAUCAUUACAAACGUUCGAUGGUCCAAAAGUUUUCAUUUGAUUGACUGCACUUUCGUCAAUCUUGAUUUAAGAAUACACCUACAGCUAAAAACAUUAAACUAUCUGUAAUAUUACACGAUUUUCAGUUUUAAGAGGUAUGAUGAUCAGGUGUUUCUAGGUGGAUAAUUACUUCGUUCGUGAAAUGAUCAAUACAAUGAGGCUUUCAUACUUAGACAAUAAUCUGGGGUUUAGCGCUAGGGGAGCUCAUGGGGGUCUUUGAUGCUAGGGGAGCUGAUGGGGGCUGAGCCUACCUUGAUAGUGCCGAAAAAUGGCCGAUUUCUACAUUUGCUACUGUCUUUGCAACAUUUUGCGCAAGAGCCCCCCUUUCGUUGAUUGCUAAUGCAAUAAUGCCCCUAAAGCUACACCAUAUUAUAACAGAACCUCUCUACAUCUAAAGAAUACAGCUUGAAGUUUAGCAUUAUUCGCACUUUGCAAUACGAAUAUCGAAAGUCGUGGCAAGAAGCUUUCGUAGACUGGCUACCAUGACAAAAUGCAACAGCACUUUAUUUCUUUUGAAGGACCUUACUAACCUAAUAUUUUAAUUCUUUUAAAUUUUAUUGAUUCUUACUAAUCCGUAAGUUACCAUUCUGGCCGUUUAAGCUAGGACACAUCAGUUGUAAACAAGCUGCAACCUCGUCUUAAAUAAGAGAACGGUGUGAGAAGUUUUGGGUUGCAUUGUUAGAAUUCACACCAAAGAGAAGUUCCAGUAACAAAAAGGACGAAAAUUACGGAAUACUCCCGGGAUCUUUAACUGAUAGAUAAGACAAAGGCAAAAAAUAGGACAUCGUUAUUUCCACCAAAUAUGAUUUAAUAAAGAAGAUUCCUUCUCCCCAUUGCGUCUACAGCACGGCCGCGUAAUUUGGAAAUGUAUAUUUGCCACUCGGUUCACAUUUGAUUUUGGCGUGCAAUCUAAUACUUUGUCAUUAAAACAAACCAUAUCAAACACAUAGAUAAGCGUGAUAACAGUUUAUAUACAAUGUUUCCGAGAUACUUAACAAGAUGCGAUAACGAGUGCUUUCGAAGGGCAUUACGAAACGUUGAAAAAACUACUUACUGCUAAGUCUUGCAUUCUUCUUAAAGUCAAUAAUCAGCCUAGAAAAAAGAAACAGAAACUAACGUCACGAAAUUCAGAUCACGAUGUAAGGCGAAUUCGUUGAUCAUUCGUCAACACCAUCACGAUCCGCACUAAAAUUAAUUCCACUAAAAUUAAUUCUUUCGCACAAAACUUCCCUUUGAAGCUUGAGGAAAGGAGUGACGUUUACAAAAUCUAAAUAUUUCGAAAUUUCACUUAUGGAUGCGGGAGUUCAAAUAGUUUUCUUAUAUUGUCAACGUGGAUGGUUCACAAAUUCAGCAGAUUUGGCAAAUGUACCCUCUGAUAACAUAACAGUUCGAGGUUAAGGGAAAAUCCAAGAAACAAGAACAAACAAAAAUAAUAAUUGUUUCAAAACAAAGAACUACAGAAAGGCAUCACUGGCAUCUUUAAAGUUUUAAAUUGUGCCCAUUUUAAAUCUUACAACACGAAAAUUAUAUCGAUUUUCCAUGGGACGUUUUUGAGGGGCAACGGUUGAGGGUUAUAAAAAUAACCACUGGACGUUUGGCCUGAAAGAAUAGAUGUUUGUGCGUGUUUAUGCUAAGAGAUACCUUCUUAAGAAACAGCAAAAAGAUGCCUAAAAAAUGGACAUACCGUAUUUCCUCUAAAGAACGCCGCGGUGUUUAUUACAAAAUCUAACUUUUUGGAUACGGCGUUAAAUAGAUGGCGACGUUUAUCAGAGGGCGGCGUUUAUCAGAGGGUGGCGUUGAUAAGAGGGCGGCGUUGAUAAGAGGGCGGCGUUGAUUAGAGGAAAUACGGUGAUGGAAAUAAUCAACAAAAUAGUGAAAUGAUGCAGUGACUGGCUAUUGGGUAAAAUAAAACUCAAAUAGGAAAUGUCUAAUAAUUUUGGCAAUGCAAAUAAUGUAUCAAAUUAGCAAAAAUAUUGAAAAUACCAAUAAUAUAUUGUAACGGAAAGGCAUAUUUUAAAAUAUAUUAAAUGCUACAAACAGUUAUUUAUUUUUAAGUGUGCUUUACUAUGA